rnacentral:rRNA from 1 species
GAUGAACGCUGACAGAAUGCUUAACACAUGCAAGUCAACUUGAAUUUGGGUUUUUAACUUAGGUUUGGGUGGCGGACGGGUGAGUAACGCGUAAGAACUUGCCUCACAGCUAGGGACAACAUUUGGAAACGAAUGCUAAUACCUAAUAUUAUGAUAAUAGGGCAUCCUAUAAUUAUGAAAGCUAUAAGCGCUGUGAGAGAGCUUUGCGUCCCAUUAGCUAGUUGGAGAGGUAACGGCUCACCAAGGCGAUGAUGGGUAGCCGGCCUGAGAGGGUGAUCGGCCACAAGGGGACUGAGACACGGCCCUUACUCCUACGGGAGGCAGCAGUGGGGAAUAUUGGACAAUGGACCGAGAGUCUGAUCCAGCAAUUCUGUGUGCACGAUGAAGUUUUUCGGAAUGUAAAGUGCUUUCAGUUGGGAAGAAACAAAUGACGGUACCAACAGAAGAAGUGACGGCUAAAUACGUG